GUGCUGGUGCAUCGAACUGCUUCCCUCACUUUCGAUCAAUUGUUCGCUCCAAGAUUUGAUGUUGGAUGCAAAAAGUGAGUUCCUGUGUUGCAUACCUAUCGCGACGGAAGUUUGUGCCUUUAGCGGUCCCUUCCAUCAAAGCAUCCUUUUGGAUGCUUGGUUGGACUAGAUAGUCGGGCUCGUGUUCCAUGAAUGUUACCUCAUUGGAUCGUUCAUAUGGACCACGAGUGCCUACUUGUUCUCUCGGAUGCGGAACCUUGUUCAUGGUACUGGGGUCAUUGGCCCUUGCUUCCAAAUCUUCAAGCGUUUAUCGCUUUUACUGGAAUGACGCUCUUGCCUUGUCUUUGACCCAUGUGGAGCUCUCGAGCUUCACGAUGGAUCAUGCUGGGCGGACGUCGUGAAGGAAUGC
rnacentral:misc_RNA from 1 species